GGAAUAUUGCACAAUGGGCGCAAGCCUGAUGCAGCGACGCCGCGUGAGGGAUGAAGGCCUUCGGGUUGUAAACCUCUUUCAGUAGGGAAGAAGCGAAAGUGACGGUACCUGCAGAAGAAGCGCCGGCUAACUACGUGCCAGCAGCCGCGGUAAUACGUAGGGCGCAAGCGUUGUCCGGAAUUAUUGGGCGUAAAGAGCUCGUAGGCGGUUUGUCGCGUCUGGUGUGAAAUCCCAUGGCUCAACUGUGGGCUUGCAUCGGGUACGGGCAGACUAGAGUACUGUAGGGGAGACUGGAAUUCCUGGUGUAGCGGUGGAAUGCGCAGAUAUCAGGAGGAACACCGAUGGCGAAGGCAGGUCUCUGGGCAGUUACUGACGCUGAGGAGCGAAAGCAUGGGGAGCGAACAGGAUUAGAUACCCUGGUAGUCCAUGCCGUAAACGUUGGGCACUAGGUGUGGGGCGGGUUCCACUCGUUCUGUGCCGUAGCUAACGCAUUAAGUGCCCCGCCUGGGGAGUACGGCCGCAAGGCUA
rnacentral:rRNA from 1 species